rnacentral:rRNA from 1 species
ACGAACGCUGGCGGCGUGGAUUAGGCAUGCAAGUCGAACGGAAUUUCUAGCUUUUUCGGAAAUUUAGUGGCGAACGGGUGCGUAACACGUGAGGAACUUGUCCCGGUCUCUGGGAUAACAGUUGGAAACGACUGCUAAUACCGGAUGACGUCGGAGCGUCGCAUGGCGCGCUGACGAAAGGGUUACCGGAUCGGGAGAGCCUCGCGGCCUAUCAGCUUGUUGGCGGGGUAACGGCCCACCAAGGCAUCGACGGGUAACUGGUCUGAGAGGAUGAUCAGCCACACUGGGACUGAGACACGGCCCAGACUCCUACGGGAGGCAGCAGUGGGGAAUCUUGCGCAAUGGGCGAAAGCCUGACGCAGCAACGCCGCGUGCGGGAAGAAGGCCCUCGGGUUGUAAACCGCUUUCAGCAGGAACGAAAAUGACGGUACUUGCAGAAGAAGGUGCGGCCAACUACGU